rnacentral:misc_RNA from 1 species
CCGAGUGUAAAAACUCCCCAACCCAUUGUGAACAUACCCCGCGUUGCCUCGGCGGGAUGCCCCGCGUCUCCGGACGCGGGGUCCGCCGGCGGCCCACGAAACCCCUGUCACGCCUGGCAUCUCUGAACGCAAGCGAAAUCAGUUA